rnacentral:rRNA from 1 species
UGGGGAAUAUUGCACAAUGGGCGCAAGCCUGAUGCAGCGACGCCGCGUGCGGGAUGGAGGCCUUCGGGUUGUAAACCGCUUUUGUUCAAGGGCAAGGCAGGCUUUCGGGCCUGUUGAGUGGAUUGUUCGAAUAAGUACCGGCUAACUACGUGCC